UACGUAGGGUGCAAGCGUUAAUCGGAAUUACUGGGCGUAAAGGGCUCGUAGGCGGCCAACUAAGUCAGACGUGAAAUCCCUCGGCUUAACCGGGGAACUGCGUCUGAUACUGGAUGGCUUGAGAUUGGGAGAGGGAUGCGGAAUUCCAGGUGUAGCGGUGAAAUGCGUAGAUAUUGGGAGGAACACCAGUGGCGAAAGCGGCGCACUGGACCAUAACUGACGCUGAUGCGCGAAAGCUAGGGGAGCAAACAGG
rnacentral:rRNA from 1 species